CUAUUAAGAAAGCAAUCUUCCAAUCAGCUCAAAGUAGAAAGUUUUCUCAGCCGCUGGAUGUCGCUGUACGAGCAGGUCUGCGUGUGAAUAUCAGCCGAAGAAAAGACAACAAUGGCGGCGACCUGCUCGUGGAAGUUAGACAAAGAAACGGGGCAGGAUGCGCUUAUCGAGUUGCAUACAUUUUUCGCCAAGAUUAUAUAUUGAUGACGGGAGAGUUGAACUGUUCACAUAGUCUUCUAGAGUACAUCCCAAAGAUUCUCAUCGGAGUUAAAGUAUGGACUCUGCGGUGGCCAAUCCAUGUGUGAAAAAUCACAUCUAAUGCUCUCUGAACCCUUCUUUCACAAUUUGAGCCUGAUAAAUCCUGGCAUUUUUAUCUUGGAAUAUGCCCAUGCAAUCAGGGAAGAAAAAAAAAAAUGUAUGGAAUAACAUAACAUUGUUGAACCUAGACCUGAGCAGCUGCAGCGAUGCCAGAUCAUAUCACCUGUUUGCUUCGUUAAAUCGAGGUGGUGAACAGGCAGUGUAUGUUCAGUGUCAAUGUGACGACCCGAGUGGUGGCCACACAUGAGUGUUUACCGGCGGUGUGUGGUGACGAUUGUCAGGCCCAAGUACUGCAGCUUCCUGGUGUGACGAAAAUUAAGAGUCCGGGUGGAAACUGGGAAUUUAAGGGGGAAUGGUUCUCCCUGGACAUACCAUUCAGAGAGAUGGUCGGGGGCAAGAAAGGAAAAGUAGCUGAUUUUAUUAAUUAUAUUUGGUUGUCUAUUUAUGUUGUUUGGUUAUGGGUUAGGUUCUCUGGGGAUGAUUUAGUGUUUCUUUUAAUUUGUAAUGGGCCCAUCUUUCUCUUUAUAAGCUGUUG